rnacentral:rRNA from 1 species
CCUACGGGCCGCAGCAGUAGGGAAUCUUCGGCAAUGGACGAAAGUCUGACCGAGCAACGCCGCGUGAGUGAAGAAGGUUCUCGGAUCGUAAAACUCUGUUGGUAGAGAAGAACGAUGGUGAGAGUGGAAAGCUCAUCAAGUGACGGUAACUACCCAGAAAGGGACGGCUAACUACGUGCCAGCAGCCGCGGUAAUACGUAGGUCCCGAGCGUUGUCCGGAUUUAUUGGGCGUAAAGCGAGCGCAGGUGGUUUAUUAAGUCUGGUGUAAAAGGCAGUGGCUCAACCAUUGUAUGCAUUGGAAACUGGUAGACUUGAGUGCAGGAGAGGAGAGUGGAAUUCCAUGUGUAGCGGUGAAAUGCGUAGAUAUAUGGAGGGACACCGGUGGCGAAAGCGGCUCUCUGGCCUGUAACUGACACUGAGGCUCGAAAGCGUGGGGAGCAAACAGGAUUAGAUACCCUUGUAGUC